GAUUCCCUGCCAUGCGCGUGCUGAUUUGGUAACUUUUGAGCCAACACCAUCUUAUAGGGAACCUGAAUCUAGAUGCGGCUUAACGUAUCUGUGAGGGUACCCACCUAUAAAAAUGGGUUCAAAAUUAUCAAACUCGCACGGCGUGCGCGGGGAUUUU
rnacentral:other from 1 species